rnacentral:misc_RNA from 1 species
GAUGAAGAACGCAGCGAAAUGCGACACUUAGUGUGAAUUGCAGAAUUCCGUGAAUCAUCGAAUCUUUGAACGCACAUUGCGCCCCCUGGUAUUCCGGGGGGCAUGCCUGUCCGAGCGUCAUUACAACCCUCAAGCUCAGCUUGGUGUUGGGCCCCGCCGCCCCGGCGGGCCCUAAAGUCAGUGGCGGUGCCGUCCGGCUCCGAGCGUAGUAAUUCUUCUCGCUCUGGAGGUCCGGUCGUGUGCUUGCCAGCAACCCCCAAUUUUUUUCAGGUUGACCUCGGAUCAGGUAGGGAUACCCGCUGAACUUAAGCAUAUCAAUAAGCGGAGGA